rnacentral:rRNA from 1 species
AUGACGAGCGGCGGACGGGUGAGUAAUGCCUGGGAAUUUGCCCAUUUGUGGGGGAUAACAGUUGGAAACGACUGCUAAUACCGCAUACGCCCUACGGGGGAAAGCAGGGGACCUUCGGGCCUUGCGCUGAUGGAUAAGCCCAGGUGGGAUUAGCUAGUAGGUGAGGUAAAGGCUCACCUAGGCGACGAUCCCUAGCUGGUCUGAGAGGAUGAUCAGCCACACUGGGACUGAGACACGGCCCAGACUCCUACGGGAGGCAGCAGUGGGGAAUAUUGCACAAUGGGGGAAACCCUGAUGCAGCCAUGCCGCGUGUGUGAAGAAGGCCUUCGGGUUGUAAAGCACUUUCAGCGAGGAGGAAAGGGUGUAAGUUAAUACCUGACAUCUGUGACGUUACUCGCAGAAGAAGCACCGGCUAACUCCGUGCCA